rnacentral:rRNA from 1 species
CGGUUAACGUACUUACCCGGGACUUACGGGGACUACCGGUCGAACGGUCAAACGGUUCGAAAACGUCUAAAGGAACGUUCGAACGGGGUACCUAGACCGGUACGACGGUCGAAGUCGUAGUUAGUCGGGUUUAAAGUUACGUAACGUCGUAAACGACCGUAACGAACCUUACCGUAAACGUACCUUAGUACCUUAGUAACCGUUUCGUAAACGUUACGUAAGUACGUAGUACGUACGUACCGGUUUACCCUUACGGGGGUUACCGUAAACGGUUACGGUAACCGUAGGGUUACGGUUAGGUCGGUUACGUUCGGGUUUACGUUACGGGUUCCGUACGGUCCGUUACCGGGUUCGGUUACCGGUUACGGUACGGUUACGGUUUACGGUUUCCGGGGUUUAAGUUACCCCGGGUACGUAAACCCGGUACGUAACCCGGUUACGUAACCCCGUUUUAAAGGUACCGUUUUAACGGUUUAGGUUACCCGUAAGUUUACCGUAGGUUUUAACGUUUACGGGGUUACCUUAACGGGUUUCCUAACGGGUUUUGGAACCGGUUUGGACCCCGGGUUAACGGGACCGGUAAAAACCCGGGGUAGGGGAAAACGGUUUGGGGGGAAACGUUUCGGGAAANCGGUAACUAACUACUACGUACGUACGUCGUCCGUACGUGAGUUGGGUCGUACACACGUGCUACAAUAGGACGAAUACAAAGGGACGAGACUAACCGACGAGGUCGAUGCAACUACCAUAAAGUUGUUCUCAGUUCGGAUUGUAGUCUGCAACUCGACUACAUGAAGCUGGAAUCGCUAGUAAUCGUAGAUCAGCAUGCUACGGUGAAUACGUUCCCGGUCGACGCGGCCG